AGCGGCGUGGUGUAAUGGCUAACACAUCAGUCCGGUCACUGAAGAUGCUGGUUCGCUCCCAGCCGCCGAAU
rnacentral:tRNA from 1 species